rnacentral:rRNA from 1 species
AACGAACGCUGGCGGCGUGGAUAAGACAUGCAAGUCGAGCGAAAUGUCAUGGGUAGCAAUAUUCGUGGCGUUUAGCGGCGCAAGGGUGCGUAAUACGUGGGCAAUCUGCCCUAAAGCCUGGAAUAACUCCGAGAAAUCGGAGCUAAUAUCGGAUGUGGUUCUUAAGAGGCAUCUUUUGGGAACUAAAGCUGGGGACCGCAAGGCCUGGCGCUUUUGGAUGAACCCGCGGCCUAUCAGCUAGUUGGUGAGGUAACGGCUCACCAAGGCUAAGACGGGUAGCUGGUCUGAGAGGACGACCAGCCACACUGGAACUGAGACACGGUCCAGACACCUACGGGUGGCAGCAGUCGAGAAUUUUUCACAAUGGGCGCAAGCCUGAUGGAGCGACGCCGC